ensembl:lncRNA
AGUGGAACGGCCGGGAGCCGGGGCUGGGGGGCUGGGGAGGACGGCGAGGACCGCCAGGCUCAAACCACCGCCAGGACGCCCCAUGGAGAAGGUUCAAGCACCCGGCGGUCCUGCGGCUGCUUUGGCAGAAGCCAAGCAAUGACGCGGCUCCAGGUGACUCGCCCAGGUGACAGGCAGGUAACAGCUGGGAGGUGUUGGCACCGGGAGGCCCGGCUGCUCCGAAGCCAGCUCAGUGGGGGCAGGAGGUUCCUGCUUUUCGAGAGUGCAGUGGAUCUUCACUUACUCGUGGCCUUUGAAGUACAGGAUCAGAGAAGUCCAGUGAGAUGAUUCCCAUGUGGGGAGGACAAUCGCUUCGGCAUCGAGCAGCGGUCCCAGAAGCCCCCUUUCCUGGCCUCAGGGCACCAGGACGGGUGCAGGGCACACGGCCAGAGCCAGAGACGGGGUUUUGCCAUGUUGCCCAGGCUGGUCUGGAACUCCUGAGCUCCAGGGAUCUGCCUGCCUCAGCCUCGCAAAGUGCUAAGAUUUUAGCUUCCAGCGAUACCAUCCCCGGCUGGGUCCCUCCUCCCAUCGCUCCGUCCUUGCUUGCGCCGCUCAUCUCCUUCUCCGGCGACUCUGAGCCUCUGCCUCCCUCCCCUAGGAAUCUGUGAUGAUCUUGGCUCACCCAGAUCAUGCACGGUAAUUACCCACCUUCAAGGCCCUCCACUUCAUCACAUCUGCUAAUCCCCCUCGCCGCGUGUGGUCUCCCUCGCCGCACGUGGUAACAUAGUCAGGUUUCUGGGAUCAGGAUGUGGACACCUUCAGGGGAGCAUUAUUUGGCCCAGCACACAUGGCAGGUCCACGGAACUCCAGGGCUCCGCACCUGAUGCUCUGAAUGGGGAGUCAGGGAACCCCUCUCCUUGUUGUCACCACUAGAGGUUGCAAUUCAACACUGCCUUACUGUGAAAAUCUGUCAUUAAAGAGAAAGGAUCGAGGGUGUUUCCGGCAGGAAUUAUAUUUGGGGGUGCACAGCUCCCAUGGAUGAAGGACCAGCACAGUGCAGAGGAGAAUGUGGGUAAUGCUGAUGGAGGGAGGAAGACAAAAAGGCAGCCAGUACCUCCCAGGCCCCAGCAGAAGGAUGGACUUGGGCACAGGCCUUCAGAGGGGGCCAAGAGCCACAGAGCAGGCACUGGGUGCUCGCAAAGCCACAGGCCACCUUGAGGUGACUGGGGGAAGUUCCUGCCCAGUGGUGGGGUUGGGCUGGCCCCAGCAGGUCCAGCGGGCCAUCUUUGACACGGGUGACCAGGACCCGAGACCACACGCAGACACCAAGGGCACCUGCAACAUUUUCCAUCCUCGAUCAAGUAAGCUCUUCCAGCAGGCCUGCAGACCCAACUUCCACUUUGCAAAAGAUACUGGAGGCAGAACAAGCUGAACCACCCACAGAGAGGCCACUGGACACAUGCAGAUGGUGGAACCUUCUGCAGGACGCGAGGCCUGGUGUAUGUGCUACCUCUGUUGCGUAACGAACCACCACCAGCCUGGAAGCUUACAGCAGCACCCACUUACCACUUCUCAGUUCUGUAGGGUAGACGUCCGCGCACAGCUGAGCUUGGUUUUCUGCUGAGGGUCCCGUGAGGCUGAGAUCCAGGCAUCCGCAGGGCUGGGCCCGCGUCUGGAGCUCAGCGGGAAUCUGUUCCCAGGCUCAUUCCUGCCAUCUGCGGAAUCCCCUCCUGCACUUGUGGGACAGAGGACCCCCUUUCUUGCUGGCCGCCAGCAGAAGCUUGUUCUCAGUUCCCGAGGGCUGCCUCCUUCCUUGGCGUAUGACCUCAUCUCUAAAGCAAGCAAGGAUGUGUUCAGUUCCCUGCUGCCUCCAGUCACUUCACUCUUCCACUACCAGCCAGAGGAAAUGCUGCUUUCAGAGGGCACGUGUGAGUAGACGCAGCCUACUCGGAAAAUCGCCCUUUGAUUAAUUCAAAUUCGACUGAUCAGCAAACUUAAUUGUAUCUCCUGUGUAUACCUGUCUCCCCAUUCCUCCUUUGUGUAAGGAGGGGUCUUAGUCCUGUUGAAUUAGGACCCGACGGAAUGACCUCAUUUCACCUUAAUUGCCUCUAAAGAACCAAUUUCCAAAUACAGUCAUAUUCUAA